GUGGCGGGGGCGGGACGGUACCGCGGGCGCCUGCAGAGCGUCAGAUCAUGGGUUCGACUCCCAUUCGCCACU
rnacentral:tRNA from 2 species